GAUGAACGCUGGCGGCGUGCCUAAUACAUGCAAGUCGAGCGAACGGACGAGAAGCUUGCUUCUCUGAUGUUAGCGGCGGACGGGUGAGUAACACGUGGAUAACCUACCUAUAAGACUGGGAUAACUUCGGGAAACCGGAGCUAAUACCGGAUAAUAUUUUGAACCGCAUGGUUCAAAAGUGAAAGACGGUCUUGCUGUCACUUAUAGAUGGAUCCGCGCUGCAUUAGCUAGUUGGUAAGGUAACGGCUUACCAAGGCAACGAUGCAUAGCCGACCUGAGAGGGUGAUCGGCCACACUGGAACGGGGACACGGUCCAGACUCCUACGGGGAGCAGCAGUAGGGAAUCUUCCGCAAUGGGCGAAAGCCUGACGGAGCAACGCCGCGUGAGUGAUGAAGGUCUUCGGAUCGUAAAACUCUGUUAUUAGGGAAGAACAUAUGUGUAAGUAACUGUGCACAUCUUGACGGUACCUAAUCAGAAAGCCACGGCUAACUACGUG
rnacentral:rRNA from 1 species